rnacentral:rRNA from 1 species
CCGCUCAGAGGUAAACGGGUGGAGUUGAACUGCUUGUUCUGUGAAUUCAGCUGGUGACUGUAUUAUGAUCUUGGUUAUUUUGAUUGGACAGCGGGGUCUGUGUAGCAGCAGGUCUUUGCCUUCGGGUGAGGAUGCGCGAUUUACUUAUCAAGUAAUGUGCGCCCCGUUUGUUCUUCGAAUCGGUUGCCAGUGCACUUUCUCAGAGCGCUCAUCACGACCGGCACUGCUGUCUGGCUGUUAUGGUUAAACCGGUUUGGCAUAGUUCUUGUAGCUUUGUCGAGUCGGGACGGCAGGUAGCUCGUUGGCUUGCUUGUGGUUCGCUGCAGGUGUUCGGCUUUCGGGUGUAAUCAGCUGACCAUGAUGGUYCUGUACAGUGUGUCGGAGACGGCGGCUUGUGGUGUGUGCAUGUGUGGUGGUUUGCAGGCGUCUCUGGGUUUGGUUGCCUUGUUCGCUUGUCAAAGCAAGCCUGGCAAUAGCCUUGAGACGUUCUGUGGGCUGCUGCAUGUGUGACAUCUUCACAGGGCCGACAGUCUGUGAUGUUGUGGUAGACUAUCCACCUGACCCGUCUUGAAACACGGACCAAGGAGAGUAACAUGUGCGCGAGUCAUUGGGCGUAACGAAACCCA